rnacentral:lncRNA from 1 species
UUGCUGUGCAAAAGCUUAUAGGCUUGAUUAGAUCCUAUUUGUUUAUUUUGGCUUUUAUUUCUAUUGCCUUGAGAGACUGACUUAAGAAAACAUCAUUAUAAUUUAUGUCAGAGAAUGUUUUGACCAUUCUCUCUUCUGGGAGUUCUAUGGUGUCCUGUCUUAUACUUAAGUCUUUAAACCAUUUUGAGGUUUAUGGUGUGAGGCUAUGUUCUGACUUCAUUAAUCUACAUGCAGCUGUCCAACUUUCACACCACCACUUGCUGAAGAGACUGUCUUUUCUCCAUUGUAUAUUCUUGCAUCUUUGUAGAAGAUUAAUUGUCCAUAGGUGCCUGGAUUUAUUUCUGGGCUUUCCAUUCUGAUACAUGAUUCAUAUGUCUGUUUUGUGCCAGUACCAUGCUGUUUUGAUUACUGUAGCUUUAUUGUAUUGCCUGAAGUCUGAGAGGGUCAUGCCUCCUCCUGUAUUCUUUUCCCUCAGGAUUGCAUUGGUAGUUCUGAGCCUUUUAUGGUUCCUUAUAAAUUUUAGGAUUAUUUGUUCUAGUUCUGUGAAAAAUGUCAUGGGUAAUUUGAUAGAGAUUGCAUUAAAUCUGUAGAUUGCUUUGGGUAGUAUGGCCAUUUUAACAGUAUUAAUUCUUCCAAUCCAAGGGCAUGGGCUAUCUUUUUAUUUCUUUAAAUCAUCUUCAAUUUCUAAAGGAACAAUUCUUAAGAUAGUUGAGGACAUUUGCUCUAUCAAACAAUCCUCUCUUCACCCCCCAAGCCUUCAGUUCUUCCAGUUGAAUGCCUCCCAUUCUUUAUUAUUAUUAUUUUUUUCUAAUUUAACCUUGUUGCCCUCCUCUGGAUGGAUUGCAAUCUGUCAGUGUCUCUUUUCAAGGUACCAUGAAUGGAACAUAGCAUUCCAGGUAUGCAGGUAGGUCAGUACAAUCCUCUCUUUGUCAUGCACUCUACAUUUGCAUUAAUGGAGGGUAAAUACUGGGCCCUUUGGGCAACUUUGUUUUAUCAUUACUUUCUUGCCAUAUUCUCAUCCAUUCAGCUACAUAGGUAUUCAACCAGCUGGGAUAUUGUGGACUAUAUAUCCCUCCAGUGUCUCCAAAAGCGAAUGCAGAAAGAAUUUGUUAAAUGCCUUGCAGACAUUCUGAUAUAUUAUGUACAUUCUGAUAUAUCAUGUGGACAAAAGUACGUUAUUUUACCUAUCUGCAGUCACAAUCGAAACAGCAAUUGCUAUUCAUUCUUCAAGAGCUUACAUUGACUCCUGCUGGUCAUCUUCCCCCUGUUCUAAGGCACAUGGAUCUUCCUGUUUUAGAUUCUGUGCUGGAUCACCACCAGGCUCAUUAGGCUCUCAUUGUCAAGAACCACCUGCUUCUCCCCCUUUAAAAAAUUGCUUCCUACCUUUGGUUACCUCUGGUUUUCUGAUAUCACCUCUGUUUUUCUGAUCAUCAAGAGGAUUACCCAAAGCAGUUCAAGCAUCUCAUUGUAAAAUGCCUGAUUUUGUGACAUGUAAUUUUUAAUGCAUUCUUUAUAGAAGUCACUCCCUGUAGAAGUUAAUACAUAGGGGUAGAUGUUGAAAUGAAGACUCCCAAAUAACAGUGAAUUAAGAAAGACACUCUCCUACACCCUACACCUCAGUAAUAGCCCAGAUGUAAGCAGUCCUGUCCACAUGAUAGAAUCCUUCAGUCCUGCUAUAGAGUUGCAUCUCUACAGAGUGGCCCUUGCCCAUGUGGUUCACAGUGGCUCAUCUUAUCACCUCAGAUGCCAUAUAUGAAGCAGGGAGGAGGAAGGUACAUACUUUCUGAGUACAAACUCGAACUUGCACAUGGUGUUUCUAUUUAUAUUCCAUUAGCAAAAGCUCACAGACGUGGACAUCCAGCUAAAAAGGAGGCUUGGAAAUGCUGCUUUUAUAUCAGCUAUAAUGUAUCCACCUAAAGAUCUGAAGCUCUAGUUCUAUAGGAAAAGACAGAUAUUGAGAAAAAUUUUAAGAUGGAUAUUGAGGAAAAUUUAGCAGAGUCUGCCAUACUCCUUUCUGUAUCUCUUAAGGAUCCCUCCAUUUUCUCAGAUGUGAAACUAAAGAGUCAAGUCUACUUUUUCUAUGUCUUUUAUGGUCACUCACAAAUCCUGUUCUUUUUUCAGUAUUUUAAUCAAUCCUAAAAAUAUUUUUUAGCCAUUCCUUUUUUUUUCUAUUUUUCUCACUUAUUGCUAUCUGAAUACAGACUCUCAUCCUUCUUUGGUUUUGUUAGUACCAUCCAGACAUCCAGAAUGAUCAUCUUCCAUCUGCUGACUGCUUAAUAGGAAGGGAUAAAGACAAAUUCUCUCUAUUGGCAAACGGUGAUGGACAUAGUUUUCUGCUGCCCUGAAGGCUGCUGCCUAUUUAAGUUUGAAAGGGGAACGAGUGGAACAGAUGUUCUGACUUGGUCCCUCUUCAGGAGGAAUAAGGAGUCACUGCUUCUGCCGCUAUGACCUUUAUGCACAUUCAACUAAUUCCCAAUGACCCUGGCCCAACCCCACUUUCCCCCAGAGAACUGUGCUCCACCAGCUGAUGUCAUUUUUUUUUUUUUUUGCCCCCUUUGGGGAACUUUUUCCAUUUUGUCAUUUCUUGACCAGAUUACAAGAGCCCAUUAACUUGUUUCUCCGAAAACAUACUGUCCUCCUCUAAUCCAUUCGGUUCUAAGCCAAAUCCAUCUCCUUCAAAUACUGAUUUCAUUUUCAAAACUCUUCUACUUAAAUAUUUCUAAAUGGUGAGUCAUUUGUCACAGCAAGGAUGGCAAAUGCAUGAUGCCUUGUUCAAGGCCACCCUCACGAAUCAAGAUACCCUUUCCUGGGCAACCUGGAUGAAGCUUGAGAAUCCUUUUUCCACAGUUGGUACUGCCAACUGAUUGGAAUUGGCAUGGGAGAUCAAUCUUAUUUAUCACCCAGGCAACAAAAUUAUUUCUAAAAGUUGGACUUUAACAGUGCUCAUGGAUUAUGAGCCCCCAAAUCUGCUGUUCAACAUAUGCCAGAUCCUCUUUCCUCAAACAGAUCAUAAAUUCCUCCUUCUGUUUUUGCUUUUUCAUUACAUGCCUGGGUUCUGCUCACAGAGUUAGGGUGGAUAUGGUUUGCAGGCAUCCUCACGUCAAAGAGAUGUUGAAGGUGUUGAAGCCUGAGCUGAUGGAUGAAGGAAACCAAGCCAGAAGGAAAAUCUAAACUCAUCAAGUAAGGCAGUGCAAGGCUGUAAUUAGAAAACCGGUGCCAGGUGUGAAAUCUAAGGAGCAAGGCAAGGUCACACAUGGAGAAGCCCGAGCCCAGGAGCCAGAAGGAAGGGAAGCAAGUCAGAUUGCAGAGUGCAAGUUGGGACAAGGCAAAUGAUUCAGAACUAAGCUUGUGGAAAUACUUCUUGGAACUGUCAGAACAGCCUCUGUGCAGGAUCAGCCGUUCACACAGAACCAUGCAUGUAAUAUGCAUUCAUGCAGAGAUAAGCAUAAACAUAAAGUAAUCCCUUCUAAUCCUAUGUUGAAAUGCCAUGUUGAACUAGACAUUUCUGUAGUUUCUCCCAGUCUCUUUUGUCCAGUUUUACACAAAACUAUUGACUGCGCAACUUCCCUUUAAAUUCUGGUAUCUCUAGAUGUCUUUAAGAUUGUGUUUAAGGCAGAGUGGAGAAGGUAGCUCUCGAUAGGCACUAACAAUAAAGCAGACCCUAAAACAGGUGGUAGAUGGGAACAAGACUGACUCCACCGAAGGUCUUUUACAGAUUAGACCCCCAUGAAGCCAUUGUUGCCUCUCGGCUUCUGCAAAGCUGAGGGACAGUCCUUCUGCCACAGCUGCCUUUGCAAAAAUUAACAUCUUGUUCCUGCCAAGGAAGCAGGUGACAAGCUCAGCAGCACUCUUUCGAUUUGCUUUUCUCCAUGGCACGAACACGUGCCCCCUGAAUAGGCAGUCAUUUGUAUAAACAGGAGGACUGCAAAAGCCAAGGCAAGGAGAUGAAGGUGAGUCAGGGAGAGGAAAGCAGCACCUGAGAGCUGAAUAAAACACCAAACAGCCAGGUGAUGGAAACAAAGCCGGCCAGCAUUCACCCAAGUGAAUGGAAGCAAGUUGACUCAUGCGGCUCUGGGAACAACUAAGAGUGUUUGCAUGCACAUGAUGAAUCAUCUAAUGCGUAAGUCAAGCCACAAGCUAUAAUUAAUCUUGUGUGUUAAAACACAUUCGAGUAUUUUGAACAUGAGCUAAUGAGGUUCACCUGUAUGAUCAUGCAGCCCUCAGAGCUGGGUAAGCACAGCAAGGACAAAGGUGGAAUCUGGAGGUGCCCUUUCCUUGUGGCCUGUGGUUUCAGCCACGUGAUGCUCUGUGUGGGGUGUGAACAUUGGCAGUAGAGGGGGCCGGAUGGUGUUAAGGCCCCCACCCCAAGCUGCCCUCAAGUCCUCCUUUCUUUACAGUGCUGACUGGGAGAGUGCCUUCUGGAUACAGGGACUAAAAGGGCUCCUUAUGGUUCUUCCAGUUUGCAGUGGACUUGCAUACCGACUGUGGAAUGGACCAUGCUAGGAUGACCAGCUGCUGGUUGGUAUUGGAAAGAUUGGUAGUGGUCAUUUUUGGUUUUGGCAGGCUAACAUCUAUUCCACAGUCCCUUAAGAGUAGCGCCUGGUUCCUUUUGAAGAUUGAUUUCUCCCCCAUGGGCACAGCUUGAUAAGCCUAUAAUCCAGAGGCCCUACUCUCCCACAGCUGUGGAGCAGCCACAUGGCCCAUGCCAUUCAUUUAAUUCAGCAGUAGCGCCCAGGAGAGAAAGCCAGGUGUUCUUGACACUGUGAAGAUCUACGAGGUUGCCUUGGUGACAAGCUUGGUUCUCCAGCCAUUUCUUAAUUUUGUUCUGCGGGUCUAUGCUUUUUGGCUGUUUCCUAUCCUUCCCCAAUCCCCUUUUUGCUUAUGUUGCCAAGAGUUUGUUUCUGCUACAUGUAACCAAAGACUCCUAAUUGGUAUAGAUUCAUGUACCCAAAGUUUCCACUACAGAUGUUCAAGGGAAUGGAGAUUAUUGGUAAAUUUGGCAAAUUGGUUAUGUCUACGGAUUUUACAAGGCUCAUUACACAAAGGCUUGUCUUCCUUACCAUCCCUGCCUUGAAGUUUCUCUUCUGAUUAAUUUAUUUCAAAUCUUUCAUCAAAUAUUACCCAAGUUAAAUCAUCUGAAACCUUGUUUAUUCACAAGUGUCUUUCACCCUGACAGGUCUUGGAGGGGUAAGGGUGGGGCAGUUGGUGGUAUUUUGUUUCUUAUAAUAUGUACUUAACUAUCAGUGUGUAAAAAGAAAGGUAAUUAUUUGUGGAAUAGAAAACUCCAGUAAAACAUCCAAAAAUAAUGGAGAAGAAGAAACAGCUAAUAAUAAUCAUAUGUGAUUGAAUUAAAGAUACCAUCAGUUGUCAGAAACAUUCUCAUUUUAUAUGCCAC